GAGGGUAUAGCUCAGUGGUAGAACACGUUCUUGGCAUGCAGGAGGCCCUGGGUUCAAUCUCCAGUAUCUCCA
rnacentral:tRNA from 1 species